rnacentral:rRNA from 1 species
GACGAACGCUGGCGGCGUGCUUAACACAUGCAAGUCGAACGGAAAGGCCCUGCUUUUGUGGGGUGCUCGAGUGGCGAACGGGUGAGUAACACGUGAGUAACCUGCCCUUGACUUUGGGAUAACUUCAGGAAACUGGGGCUAAUACCGGAUAGGAGCUCCUGCUGCAUGGUGGGGGUUGGAAAGUUUCGGCGGUUGGGGAUGGACUCGCGGCUUAUCAGCUUGUUGGUGGGGUAGUGGCUUACCAAGGCUUUGACGGGUAGCCGGCCUGAGAGGGUGACCGGCCACAUUGGGACGGAGAUACGGCCCAGAAUCCUACGGGAGGCAGCAGUGGGGAAUAUUGCACAAUGGGCGGAAGCAUGAUGCAGAAACGCCGCGUGCGGGAUGACGGCCUACGGGUUGUAAACCGAUUGCGACUGUGACGAAGCGUGAGUGACGGUAAUGGGUAAAGAAGCACCGGCUAACUACGUG